rnacentral:lncRNA from 1 species
UUUGCUUUUUAGGUCCGCAUCCACAGCAUAUGGAAGUUCCUAGGCUAAGGAUUAAAUGGGAGCUACAGCUGCCGGCCUACACCACAGCCACAGCAAUGCAGGAUCCAAGCCACAUCUGCGUCCUAUACCACAGCUCACGGCAACACUGGAUCCUUAACCCACUGAGCAAGGACAGGGAUCAAACCACAACCUUAUGGAUCCUAGUUGGGUUCGUUAAACACCGGGCCAUGAAGAGAACUCCUCAAUUUUUAAAAUAUGUUUUAUUCUGGAGAUCCUGUUGUGGUUCCAGUGCGUUAAGAAUCUGACUAGUAUCCAUGAGGAUGCAGGUUCGAUCCGUGACCUCACUUAGUGGGUUAAGGAUCUGGUGUUGCCAUGAGCUGUGGUGUAGAUCACCAAUGUGGCUCAGACCCCUCGUUGCUGUGGCUAUGGCAUAGUCCAGCGAUUAAAGCUCUGAUUCAACCCCUACCCUACCCUGGAAACUUCUGUAUACCGCAGGUGCGGCCCUAAAACAAAUGUUUUAUUCUUAUGAUAUCUUGUGAAAUAAAUUAAAAAUUGGAAGAAAAAAAAGUUGAAGUAACUCCAGGAAUUUCAUAAGCUUCAACUUCAAAGGCGUCUUGUUUAAUCCAUGGGGGAAAUUACUUCACCUCUGAAGACUGAUACAUUCUCAGGAUUCCAGACACUGGGGAAUUUCAGUGCUGGGUGACCUUCUCAGGGCAGGCCUGGAGUUUGGUAUUCAGCCCCUACUGUUCCUCAAUGUCUGAAAAAAAUAUAGGGUUGGGUGAAGGGCAGACAGAUAAUUGUCAAAGUGUAAUCUAUCUGUCAUGCUGAUACAAUUGGAACAUGUGGACCAAAGUCAAAAGCAGGGCCAGAUACAAAGUUAAAAAGAGGCUCAAGUCUCCAGGUAUCUUGUCCCAGCAAGACCAGGUUUCCUUUCAUUAAUUAUACUUGAAAUUAUAACAUAUCUUCAUUAGAUUCUUUCUCGGGAAAGUAAUAUAUGUAGACAUACAUAAAGUGCAAAGCAGCCGCAGUAACACAUACAAAAAAAAAAAAAAGAGAGAUGUUCAAAAUAGUCUAAAAUAACCAACAGCAAAAAAAACAACCCAAAUGAAAAAUGGACAAAAGACCUGAAUAGACAUUUCUCCAAAGAAGACAUAUGGAUGGCCAACAGGCACAUGAAAAGAUGCUCAGUAUCACUAAUGAUUAGAGAAAUAUAAGUCAAAACGACAACCACCUCACACCGGUCAGAAUGGCCAUCAUUAGUAAGUCCGCAAAUAAAACAAAUGCUGCAGAAGGUGUGGAGAAAAGGAAGCCCUCCUACACAGUUGGUGGGAAUGUAAAUUGGUACAGCCUCUACAGAAAACAGUAUGGAGGUACCUCAGAAAACUAAAUAUAGAACUAUCAUAUGAUCCAGCAAUCCCACUCCUGGUCAUCUAUCCAGACAAAACUCAAAUUGGAAAAUAUACAUGCACCCCUGUGUUCAUUGCAGCACUAUUCACAAUAGCCAAGACAUGGAAACAACCUAAAUGUCCAUCAACAGAUUAAUGGAUUAAGAAGAUGUGAUACAUAUACAUGGUGGAAUACUACUUAGCCAUAAAAAAGAACAAAAUAAUGCCAUUUGCAGCAACAUGGAUGAAACUAGAGAUUCUUACUUCAUACUAAGUGAAGUAAGUCAGAAAGAGAAAGACAAAUACCAUAUGAUAUCACUUAUAUAUGGAAUCUAAUAUAUGGUGCAAAUGAACCUAUCUACAAAUAAGAAACAAACUCAUGAACAUGGAGAACAGACAUGGUUGCCAAGGUGGAGGGAGUGGGAUGGACUGGGAGUUUGGUGUUGGUAGAUGCAAACAUUUGGAGUGGAUAAGCAAUGAGGUCCUGUCGUGUAGCACAGGGAACUCUAUCCAGUCAUUUGUGAUGGAACAUGAUGGAGGAUAAUAUGAGAUAAUAUACACACACACACACAUAUAUAUACAUACACAUACAUAUAUAUAUAUAUGACUGGAUCAUUUUGCUGUACAGCAGAAAUUGACAGAACAUUGUAAAUCAACUAUAAUAAAAAUUUUAAUCAAAUCAAAUGCAAAACAAAAUUACUUUCUAUAACCACGUGAGCAUGUGAAAUGUGAGUAUAUUCCGUUUAUAAAUUGUGGUUGACAUCCAGUCAGUAGAUCUUUAAGCAACUCUUGAGGGUUUCUGCCACACUGUAAAUAUUUUUUUGCAGUAAUCUGGCUUAAGGUUGUCCACCUCUACGGGGACUCAACCCUCCCAAGUUAUGUAAAAAUAUGGAAGGAAAGUGGGGAAGCGGGAUGGCCAUCCCCAGAUAUGGCUCAGGGCAGCAAAAUUUGGUGGAACAAAGCGGUCAGGGCAGAAAACACUUAUCGGCAGACCCUCGUUCCUUCACAAAAGCUAAGAAAACCUGAAAAACCAAAUGAGCAACAAAUGACGAUCCCUCAAAAAGUACUGUUUUGUGUUGCAAAACACAUGGCAGCUUCAAAAAAAAGAGGAAGUACACGACGAACAUGGCAGGAGGCCAUAACUCAUGGCAAAGCUGAGGAGGAAAGCAAGACAUUUCUUACAAAAAUAAGCACUGAACUGCAACACCAUAAAAUAGAUCAUAGCACCAAUAAAGUAGAAUUCUACAAAACCUCACAAAUUUGGACUCUGGAAAAAAAAGGUGCGGAAUUAUAGAAUACUGUAAAUGCUAUGGGAUUUUUUUUUUGGGGGGGGGGCUUUUUAGGGCCACACUUGCCGCAUAUGAAGUCCCCAGGCUAGGGGUUGAAUCGGAGCUGCAGCUUACAGGCCUACACCACAGCUCACAGCAACGCCAGAUUUUUAACCCACUGAGCAAGGGCAGGGAUCGAACCCACAUCCUCAUGGAUCCUAGUCAGGUUCAUUAACCACUGAGCCACAAAGGGAACUCC